rnacentral:rRNA from 1 species
GUCUAUGGCCAUGCCACUCCGAACAAGUCUGAUCUCAGAAGCUAAGCAAGGUCGGGCCCGGUUAGUACUCGUAUUGGAGACCACAUAGGAAGACCAGGUGCUGUAAGAA